rnacentral:rRNA from 1 species
UAGGGAAUAUUGCUCAAUGGGGGAAACCCUGAAGCAGCAACGCCGCGUGGAGGAUGAAGGUUUUAGGAUUGUAAACUCCUUUUGUGAGAGAAGAUAAUGACGGUAUCUCACGAAUAAGCACCGGCUAACUCCGUGCCAGCAGCCGCGGUAAUACGGAGGGUGCAAGCGUUACUCGGAAUCACUGGGCGUAAAGAGUGCGCAGGCGGGCUUGUAAGUCAGAUGUGAAAUCCUGUAGCUUAACUACAGAACUGCAUUUGAAACUACUUUUCUAGAGUAUGGGAGAGGUAGGUGGAAUUCUUGGUGUAGGGGUAAAAUCCGUAGAGAUCAAGAGGAAUACUCAUUGCGAAGGCGACCUGCUGGAACAUUACUGACGCUGAUGCGCGAAAGCGUGGGGAGCAAACAGG